rnacentral:rRNA from 1 species
CGAGUCGGACUCGGGGCCAACCUCCCACCCGUGUUGCCCGAACCUAUGUUGCCUCGGCGGGCCCCGCGCCCGCCGACGGCCCCCCUGAACGCUGUCUGAAGUUGCAGUCUGAGACCUAUAACGAAAUUAGUUAAAACUUUCAACAACGGAUCUCUUGGUUCCGGCAUCGAUGAAGAACGCAGCGAAAUGCGAUAACUAAUGUGAAUUGCAGAAUUCAGUGAAUCAUCGAGUCUUUGAACGCACAUUGCGCCCUCUGGUAUUCCGGAGGGCAUGCCUGUCCGAGCGUCAUUGCUGCCCUCAAGCCCGGCUUGUGUGUUGGGCCCCGUCCCCCCCGCCGGGGGGACGGGCCCGAAAGGCAGCGGCGGCACCGCGUCCGGUCCUCGAGCGUAUGGGGCUUCGUCACCCGCUCUAGUAGGCCCGGCCGGCGCCAGCCGACCCCCAACCUUUAAUUAUCUCAGGUUGACCUCGGAUCAGGUAGGGAUACCCGCUGAACUUAAGCAUAUCAAUAAG